rnacentral:rRNA from 1 species
UAAGCGAGAUGUGAAAUCCAAGGGGCUCAACCCUUGAACUGCAUUUCGAACUGCACGGCUUGAGUAUGGGAGAGGAAGCUGGAAUUCCAGGUGUAGGAGUGAAAUCCGUAGAUAUCUGGAGGAACACCAAUGGCGAAGGCAGGCUUCUGGCCCAUUACUGACACUGAGGCACGAAAGCGUGGGGAGCGAACGGGAUUAGAUACCCCGGUAGUCCACGCCGUAAACGAUGGAUGCUA